GUUUGCCUACGGGGGGCAGCAGUGGGGAAGCUUCCGCAAUGGGCGAAAGCCUGACGGAGCAAUGCCGCGUGAGUGAAGAAGGCCUUCGGGUUGUAAAACUCUGUCCUUAUCGAAGAGAGGUGGGUAUGUGAAUAAUGUACUCAUAGGACGGUAGAUAAGGAGGAAGCCCCGGCUAACUACGUGCCAGCAGUCGCGGGAAUACGUAGGGGGCGAGCGUUGUCCGGAAUCACUGGGCGUAAAGGGCGCGUAGGCGGUUUAAUAAGUCAGUGGUGCAAACGGAGGGCUCAACCCUCAGCCUGCCACUG
rnacentral:rRNA from 1 species